UUAACAAAUUGGAUCUGUCACCUGUCACC
rnacentral:piRNA from 1 species